rnacentral:rRNA from 1 species
CCUACGGGUGGCAGCAGUGAGGAAUAUUGGUCAAUGGACGAGAGUCUGAACCAGCCAAGUAGCGUGAAGGAUGACGGCUCUAUGGGUUGUAAACUUCUUUUAUAUGGGAAUAAAAUGUUCCACGUGUGGGAUUUUGUAUGUACCAUAUGAAUAAGGAUCGGCUAACUCCGUGCCAGCAGCCGCGGUAAUACGGAGGAUCCGAGCGUUAUCCGGAUUUAUUGGGUUUAAAGGGAGCGUAGGUGGAUUGUUAAGUCAGUGGUGAAAGUUUGCGGCUCAACCGUAAAAUUGCAGUUGAAACUGGCAGUCUUGAGUACAGUAGAGGUGGGCGGAAUUCGUGGUGUAGCGGUGAAAUGCUUAGAUAUCACGAAGAACUCCGAUUGCGAAGGCAGCUCACUGGACUGCAACUGACACUGAGGCUCGAAAGUGUGGGUAUCGAACAGGAUUAGAUACCCGAGUAGUC